UACGUAGGGUGCGAGCGUUGUCCGGAAUUAUUGGGCGUAAAGAGCUCGUAGGCGGUGUGUCACGGUCGGCCGUGAAAACCUGCAGCUUAACUGUGGGCGUGCGGUCGAUACGGGCAUCACUGGAGUUCGGCAGGGGAGACUGGAAUUCCUGGUGUAGCGGUGAAAUGCGCAGAUAUCAGGAGGAACACCGGUGGCGAAGGCGGGUCACUGGGCCGAAACUGACGCUGGAGGAGCGAAAGCGUGGGGAGCGAACAGG
rnacentral:rRNA from 1 species